GCCCGGGUGGCGAAAUCGGCAGACGCGGCGGAUUCAAAAUCCGUUGUCUUUACAGACGUGCGGGUUCGACUCCCGCCCCGGGCA
rnacentral:tRNA from 1 species